CGCACGGGUGAGUAACACGUAUGCAACCUGCCUGCCACAGCCGGAUAAUCGGGAGAAAUUCCGUCUAAUACGGCAUAAUGCAUCGACGGGACAUCCUGUUGGUGCCAAAGGUUAAUUCCGGUGGCGGAUGGGCAUGCGUCGCAUUAGUUAGUGGCGGUGUAACGGACCACCAAGACGACGAUGCGUAGGGGUUCUGAGAGGAAGGUCCCCCACACUGGUACUGAGACACGGACCAGACUCCUACGGGAGGCAGCAG
rnacentral:rRNA from 1 species